GAAUUUAUCUUGCUUGGACAACAUAUCAGCUGUUGGGCAACAGGAAAAUUUUCACUAAUUUUGAUUUGGGCUCCCUUGAUUAGAAAUUAUAUUCCGGAUAUUAAGUUGCAAUUAUGCAUUGUCAUAUUGCACCUUGAAGCCUGCCAGCUAGAGCGGCAAAAUGAGCAAAUUUGAAAUGGCGCCUAUCAACUGUUUAUGCGUGCAUGAGCGCGCGGGUAAAGAUCUUUACCAAUAAUUUCGCGAAGACUGUCCCAAAUCUUUGCUGGAUAUUAGCAUCUAUGGAGAAGUCAAGGCGUUUUAACACGUGCAUAUAUAAAGGUUAAUACCAGAUUGCUUAUCAUGGCCGGUGAAAUCAAGUUGGGCCACGAUCAUCCAAUCAUUCCGAAUAAACAUGACAUGAAAGGUUGCCAGACCUUAAAAAUGGCUUGGCUCAGGAGGCACAAAUUGUGUCACAAGUAGAUGUCU